GGUCUGGUGGUGUAAUGGUAACACACCUGCUUUACAUGGCCGAAAAUCCAGCGAGUUUGGCAGGAGAUCCUUGUUCGAGUCAAGGGUAGGCCA